rnacentral:rRNA from 1 species
GUUUGAUCAUGGCUCAGGCUGAACGCUGGCAGUAUGGAUAAGGCAUGCAAGUCGAACGGUCCGUCGCUUAUUUCUUCGGAAAUGUUUGGCGGAUAGUGGCAAAUGGGUUAAAAAAAAAAAGGAAAUCUACCCGGAAGUGGGGAAUAAUUCGCCGAAAGGAGGACUAAUACCCCAUGGUUCCCGCCGCCGUAAGACUGGCGGGAUAAAGAUUUAUCGCUUCCGGAAGAUCCUGCGUCCUAUCAGCUUGUUGGUGAGGUAAAAGCUCACCAAGGCUACGACGGGUAGGGGAUGUGAGAGCACGACCCCCAACACUGGAACUGCGACACGGUCCAGACACCUACGGGUGGCUGCAGUCGAGAAUCUUCGGCAAUGCACGAAAGUGUGACCGAGCGAUACUGCGUGCAGGAAGAAGGCAUUCGGGUUGUAAACUGCUGUCGUAUGGGAAGAACUUUGACGGUACCAUACAAGAAAGGGGCGCCUAACUCUGUGCCAGCAGCCGCGGUAAAGG